ensembl:lncRNA
AUAGUGCAAGUUUAAUACUUUUAUUUUUGGUCGCGGGAAGAAAAGUGUGUGUGUGUGUGUGUGUGUGUGUGUGUUUCAUGAAUGAGCUCCGGUUUGGCUGGGAUUAUCGUCUCUUAUCUGCACAUCUCAGCUCGCGGGAACCUCGGCGCGCGGUGCACACAUGGCGCAUUCUGGAGAAACUGCGGAGCUGCGCGACGGGUGAGUGGCGAUGCACCGACUGCUGCACGAGCGCUUCACACACACACACACACACACACACACACACACACACACACAGACGGGGCUCAGUGUGUUUCAUGAAUGAGCUCCGGUUUGGCUGGGAUUAUCGUCUCUUAUCUGCACAUCUCAGCUCGCGGGAACCUCGGCGCGCGGUGCACACAUGGCGCAUUCUGGAGAAACUGCGGAGCUGCGCGACGGAUCAUCCUGCUGAAAGGUCUCACAGCAGUGCAGAUAACACAUCAACUGAGGAGAGCUCGGAGGAAGAGGAAACCCAUGAAGAGGAAGAGGAAAGAGAAUCAGGUUGA